AUUGAACGCUGGCGGCAGGCCUAACACAUGCAAGUCGAACGGUAACAGGAAGAAGCUUGCUUCUUUGCUGACGAGUGGCGGACGGGUGAGUAAUGUCUGGGAAACUGCCUGAUGGAGGGGGAUAACUACUGGAAACGGUAGCUAAUACCGCGUAACGUCGCAAGACCAAAGAGGGGGACCUUCGGGCCUCUUGCCAUCGGAUGUGCCCAGAUGGGAUUAGCUAGUAGGUGGGGUAACGGCUCACCUAGGCGACGAUCCCUAGCUGGUCUGAGAGGAUGACCAGCCACACUGGAACUGAGACACGGUCCAGACUCCUACGGGAGGCAGCAGUGGGGAAUAUUGCACAAGGGGCGCAAGCCUGAUGCAGCCAUGCCGCGUGUAUGAAGAAGGCCUUCGGGUUGUAAAGUACUUUCAGCGGGGAGGAAGGGAGUAAAGUUAAUACCUUUGCUCAUUGACGUUACCCGCAGAAGAAGCACCGGCUAACUCCGU
rnacentral:rRNA from 1 species